rnacentral:rRNA from 1 species
GACGAACGCUGGCGGCGUGCUUAACACAUGCAAGUCGAACGGUAAGGCCCUUCGGGGUACACGAGUGGCGAACGGGUGAGUAACACGUGGGUGAUCUGCCCUGCACUUCGGGAUAAGCCUGGGAAACUGGGUCUAAUACCGGAUAGGACCACUGCCUGCAUGGGUGGUGGUGGAAAGCUUUUGCGGUGUGGGAUGGGCCCGCGGCCUAUCAGCUUGGUGGUGGGGUGAUGGCCUACCAAGGCGACGACGGGUAGCCGGCCUGAGAGGGUGACCGGCCCACCGGGGACUGAAAUCCGGCCCCGCCUCCGCCGGGGGGCAGCGGGGGGAAAUAUUGCAAAAGGGGCGAAAGCCUGAUGCAGCGACGCCGCGUGAGGGAUGACGGCCUUGGGGUUGAAACCCUUUUUCGGCACCGACGAGGCGAAGGUGACGGUAGGUGCAGAAGAAGGCCCGGCAAACUCCGUGCCACCCCCCGCCGUAA